AACUUAAUGACAGUUCCAGGUGUCACAUGCUGGAUAAGGGCCAGGCUUGGAAUGAGACUUCCUGUUUAAAAUGGUCUUGGGACUAGGACUGAAUCAUAACACUGGCUUCCCUGGUUCUCCAGCUUGCAACGCAUAGUUGUGGGACUUCUCAACCUUCAA